rnacentral:tRNA from 1 species
UGUGGCUCAGUGCUGGAGCACUUGCCUAGCAUGCAUGAGGCACUGGGUUCGAUCCCCGGCA